CGUGUAGGCGGCCCGGCAAGUGCUUUGUGAAAGCCCCCGGCUCAACCGGGGAACUGCUUGGCAUACUGCCGGGCUUGAGGUAGGUAGAGGCGACUGGAACCUUAGGUGGAGCGGUGAAAUGCGUAGAUAUCUAAGGGAACGCCGGUGGCGAAAGCGGGUCGCUGGGCCUGCCCUGACGCUGAGACGCGAAAGCGUAGGGAGCAAACGGGAUUAGAUACCCCGGUAGUCUACGCCGUAAACGAUGCGCACUAGGUACAGGAGUCUCUGACGGCGCCUGUGCCGAAACAAAAGCGUUAAGUGCGCCGCCUGGGGAGUACGGCCGCAAGGCUAAA
rnacentral:rRNA from 1 species